UGCUUGCACAGCCCAAUCUUUUCAUAACUUAGUGGCGGACGGGUGAGUAACGCGUGGGUAACCUGCCCUGUACUGGGGGACAACAGUUGGAAACGACUGCUAAUACCGCAUAAGCGCACGGGAUCGCAUGAUCCUGUGUGAAAAACUCCGGUGGUACAGGAUGGACCCGCGUCUGAUUAGCUGGUUGGUGAGGUAACGGCCCACCAAGGCAACGAUCAGUAGCCGGCCUGAGAGGGCGGACGGCCCACAUUGGGACUGAGACACGGCCCAAACUCC
rnacentral:rRNA from 1 species